rnacentral:rRNA from 1 species
GACGAACGCUGGCGGCGUGCCUAAUACAUGCAAGUUGAGCGCUGAAGGUUGGUACUUGUACCAACUGGAUGAGCAGCGAACGGGUGAGUAACGCGUGGGGAAUCUGCCUUUGAGCGGGGGACAACAUUUGGAAACGAAUGCUAAUACCGCAUAAAAACUUUAAACACAAGUUUUAAGUUUGAAAGAUGCAAUUGCAUCACUCAAAGAUGAUCCCGCGUUGUAUUAGCUAGUUGGUGAGGUAAAGGCUCACCAAGGCGAUGAUACAUAGCCGACCUGAGAGGGUGAUCGGCCACAUUGGGACUGAGACACGGCCCAAACUCCUACGGGGAGCAGCAGUAGGGAAUCUUCCGCCAUGGACGAAAGUCUGGCCGAGCAACGCCGCGUGAGUGAAGAAGGUUUUCGGAUCGUAAAACUCUGUUGGUAGGGAAGGACGUUGGUGAGAGUGGAAAGCUCAUCAAGUGACGGUAACUACCCAGAAAGGGACGGCUAACUACGUG